rnacentral:rRNA from 1 species
GCCAAACAGCUAGCUUAAUUACCCAAAUAUAACAACACAACAUUAAAAUACUUUACACAAACCCCACUAAAACAUAUCAAAACAUUUUACCGCCCAAGUAUGUGAGACACAAAAGGCACACUUCUUUUCAAAGCUUUAGUAAAAGUACCGCAAGGGAACGCUGAAAGAGAAAUGAAAUAAAUCAUUCAAGCACAACAAAGCAGAGACACAACCUCGUACCUUUUGCAUCAUGAUUUAGCCAACCCCUAUGAGCAAAGAGAACUUUAGUUCAAGCCCCCGAAACUAAGUGAGCUACCCCGGGACAGCCAAUUAAUUAGGGCCAACCCGUCUCUGUGGCAAAAGAGUGGGAAGAUCCCCGGGUAGAGGUGAUAGACCUACCGAACUUAGUUAUAGCUGGUUGCCUGGGAAAUAAAUAAAAGUUUAGCCUCGUGCUCCUCAACUCAUUAAUCCCAUAUUAAUAGACGAAUUUAGAGAAACCCACGAGAGUUAGUCAUAGGGGGUACAGCCCCUAUGAAACAGGACACAACCUGCACAGGAGGUUAAAGAUCUUAUCAACAAAGAUAUCGCCGUUGUAGUGGGCCUAAAAGCAGCCACCUAAACAGAAAGCGUUAAAGCUCCGACAGCACAAAAAUCAGCUAUCCAGACAUUUUAUCUCAAACCCCUAAAAAUACCAGGCUAUUCCAUGUAAGCAUGGAAGAAAUACUGCUAAAAUGAGUAAUAAGAAAUUCAACACUUCUCCUAUAAGCCUAUGUGUAAACCAGACCGGACCCCCCACUGGUAAUUAUCGAACCCAAAAAAAGAGGGCAGUAUGAGUAUAUUAAACAACAAGAAAUUACCAUAUAACCCAAUCGUUAACCCCACACCGGAAGGCCCCUUAAGGAAAGACUAAAAGAAAAGGAAGGAACUCGGCAAACAUAAGCCUCGCCUGUUUACCAAAAACAUCGCCUCCUGCAAAAUCAAAGUAUAGGAGGUCUUGCCUGCCCAGUGAUAAAUUAAACGGCCGCGGUAUUUUGACCGUGCAAAGGUAGCGCAAUCACUUGUCUUUUAAAUGAAGACCCGUAUGAAUGGUGGAACGAGGGCUUAACUGUCUCCCUUUUCAAGUCAAUGAAAUUGAUCUGCCCGUGCAGAAGCGGGCAUACAAAUACAAGACGAGAAGACCCUUUGGAGCUUAAGACAUAAGGUCAACUAUGUCAAUACAUCAGAAAUAAGACUAAACUAAAUGGAAUUUGACCCUAGUCUUCGGUUGGGGCGACCACGGAAGAAAACAAAGCUUCCACGCGGACUUGGGGCCUUCGGCCCUAAAACCAGGAAAGGCAUUUCAAAGUAACAGAAAAUCUGCCCAUUAAGGCCCGGCAAUUUUGACGGAUCAACGGACCAAGUUACCCUAGGGAUAACAGCGCAAUCCCCUUUAAGAGUCCAUAUCGACAAGGGGGUUUACGACCCCGAUGUUGGAUCAGGACAUCCUAAUGGUGCAGCCGCUAUUAAGGGUUCGUUUGUUCAACGAUUAAAGUCCUACGUGAUCUGAGUUCAGACCGGAGCAAUCCAGGUCAGUUUCUAUCUGUAAUGAAACUUCUUCCCAGUACGAAAGGACCGGAAAAAGGGGGCCUAUAUUAACAACACGCCCCACCCCUAUUUAAUGAAAACAACUUAAUUAAAUAAAGGGAGAGCAUAACCCAGCAAAUCAAGAUAAGAUUAUUAAGA